AACGAACGCUGGCGGCGUGCCUAACACAUGCAAGUCGAACGAGACCUUCGGGUCUAGUGGCGCACGGGUGCGUAACGCGUGGGAACCUGCCCUUAGGUUCGGAAUAACUCCCCGAAAGGGGUGCUAAUACCGGAUAAUGUCUUCGGACCAAAGAUUUAUCGCCUUUGGAUGGGCCCGCGUUGGAUUAGCUAGUUGGUAGGGUAAAAGCCUACCAAGGCGACGAUCCAUAGCUGGUCUGAGAGGAUGAUCAGCCACACUGGGACUGAGACACGGCCCAGACACGUGGGGGGGGAAGCGUGGGGGAAGAGUGAACAGGGGGCGCAAGCGAGAUGCAGUGAGGGGGGGGGAGUGAGAAGGGCAUGAGGUCUUUAAGGUUCUUUGGCAGGGGAAGAUAAGGACAGGGGGGGAAGAAAAAGCGGCGGACAACGCCGUGCAGGCGGCGGGGGUUAGAAGGGGAAGAGCAAACGUGUGAUG
rnacentral:rRNA from 1 species